rnacentral:rRNA from 1 species
UACGUAGGGUGCGAGCGUUGUCCGGAAUUAUUGGGCGUAAGGGCUCGUAGGCGGUUUGUCGCGUCGGGAGUGAAAUCCACUGGCUUAACUGGUGGCUUGCUUUCGAUACGGGCAGACUGGAGGUAUGCAGGGGAGAACGGAAUUCCUGGUGUAGCGGUGAAAUGCGCAGAUAUCAGGAGGAACACCGAUGGCGAAGGCAGGUCUCUGGGCAUUAACUGACGCUGAGGCGCGAAAGCUAGGGGAGCAAACAGG